rnacentral:rRNA from 1 species
CCUACGGGAGGCUGCAGUGGGGAAUAUUGGACAAUGGGGGGAACCCUGAUCCAGCGACGCCGCGUGAGUGAAGAAGUCUUUCGGUAUGUAAAGCUCUAUCAUCAGGGAAUAAAGAAAUGACGGUACCUGACUAAGAAGCCCCGGCUAACUACGUGCCAGCAGCCGCGGUAAUACGUAGGGGGCAAGCGUUAUCCGGAUUUACUGGGUGUAAAGGGAGCGUAGACGGCGAUGCAAGUAUGAAGUGAAAGGCGGGGGCCCACCCUCCGGACUGCUUUGGAAACUGGAUGGCUGGAGUGCAGGAGAGGUAAGAGGAAUGUGUAGUGUAGCGGUGAAAUGCGUAGAUAUUAGGAGGAACACCAGUGGCGAAGGCAGCUUACUGGACUGUAACUGACGUUGAGGCUCGAAAGCGUGGGGAGCAAACAGGAUUAGAUACCCGUGUAGUC